ACAUUUAUUUAUCGGUUUUCCAACAUAUGUUAUGUGCCACUCAACAAUAUCCAUUUUGAUGAACAGGUUUUGGUCUUGCUUUUGGACUGCACUCACAUUACAGAGCGCUCCACCUGCCGAGGAAAGCCAACCAGGUUUUAAGCCUCCUAUCAGAAAGAGGGGAGGACGCGUGGAUACUACUCCACAGGACUGGAUGUGUUUGGCGUCACGGAAAAGCAACCACACGUACAACAAAAAAGAGAGCGGGGCGGACACAAAGUGCUGACUGAACUGCAGGCAGACACCAGGGCAGAGUGCGGAGGAGUAAGCAGACAAGGCUGAGCACACGAGACCUGACU